CCCUUAGAUGUCCUGGGCUGCACGCGCGCUACACUGAUGUGUCCAGUAAGCACCUAACCUCUUCCGAAAGGAGCGGGUAACCUUAGCAAAGCACAUCGUGAUGGGGAUAGAUUAUUGCAAUUAUUAGUCUUGAACGAGGAAUUCCUAGUAAGCACAAGUCAUCAGCUUGUGUUGAUUACGUCCCUGCCCUUUGUACACACCGCCCGUCGCUCCUACCGAUUGAAUGUUCCGGUGAGCUCUUCGGACUGCGCGGUCUGCAGUUUCUGCGUUCCGUGCGGAAAGUUGUGCAAACCUUAACAUUUAGAGGAAGGAGAAGUCGUAACA
rnacentral:rRNA from 1 species